rnacentral:sRNA from 1 species
GCUGGGCAUGGUGGUGCAUACUUGUAAUCCCAGCUACUAAGGAGGCUGAGGCAGGAGGAUUGCAAAUUCAAGGCUAGCUGGGAAACUUAGCAAGAUCUGUUUCAA